rnacentral:lncRNA from 1 species
AUGUGUGUUUUGCAAGAAGGCAAGCAGCCCAAAAGGAGCUACUGUUCUCUAUUCACUGUCCCUGCUUGUGCUGACAAACUGGUUCUUUUAUUUGUUGGUUUAUUUGUGUUUUGGCAGGAGCAGUCGGCUGCAUCAGAUGUUACAGUCAGUCAUAUGAGGAGACAGACAGCCUGGACACAGACUAGAGAAAUUGGCUAUGACCCUGGACUGCUUGAAAGUCAAAGUGACAAAGAGGAAAAGAAAAAAAAAAAAGAAGAAGAAGAAGAAAAAAUGAUACGCCAACAGAGAACUAGAGAGGAAGAUUUCAAAUGCAGAAGAAAAUGGGAAGAAGUUGUAUGAUUGAUUUUCUGUGAAAAUAAUUUUCUAUAUUACUUUUUUCACCUCAUUAAAAAAGACAAAUUUCUCCCUCCAAUCCAACACCAGCCCACUUGGAGGCUAAAUUACGCAUAGGCUCUGAGCAUUAUGCUGACUGACAUGAGCAUCUUUCACUGCUGGGGUGCUAUGGGACAGCAGGUGAGAUAUUCCUAAAAUUCACAGAGGCUCAGGUUCACUUCACACCACUGAAAAACUCCCAGGAUGUUACUAGUGUCAUGCUAGUCUAAAUUUGGCAUACAUUAUCAAAGCCCUGUUAUUAACUCACCCAAAAUGUAUUUUUUGGUUUAUUUGGGAUUUGGUUCAGGCAACAGUGAUUUUAUAAUCUAGAUAACUCCUUGAAGACCCAUGAAUUCAAUAGUGCUAUAGAUACAGAAAAUAACUAUUUAUUAUUUUACUACUAAAAACAAACAAACAAAAAACUUUGAUAUAUUAUUAGAAGCUGCUCCCUUGUGCUCCUUUAAGAAAGAGACACAUUAAUGUCAAUAUGAACAGUUUGCAAUAGAAGUUGCUAAACAAAAAAUGUGUGAAAUCUAUCUUUAAAGUAGCUUCAUAGCAAAUUGAUUACAUCUAGAAGACAGAACAAAGUAUAAAUUUCUGUGUACAAAAUAUAGUCUAAUUCUGAAAAUGGAAGAAUAGUCAAGAGAACAUUCUUUGACCAAAACCAAAGUUUUGGAAAGAGAUAACUGUUUUGCAUAAAAACUAUUUCAAUCAAAGUCAACUCUCAGGCACUUUCAUGUAACCUUGGCUCUGAUAAGCUCUUAAUUUACAAUUUUAGCAUUAUUGUUAUAUGCAACCUGUUACAAAUAAUGAAGUCCAGUUGGAAAGUGACUGAGAAAAUCAGCAGGAAUUUUCUGGGGUCUAGAAAAUUUCAGGGGUCUAGAAAAACGUAUAAAGAAAGAUUGAGAGGAAAGAUUGUCUAGAAAAGGGAAACGUGAGAGGAAAUAUGGAAACAGAAAUACGCAAGAGGAUGCUCUGCAGAUACAGGAUAUUAGCUUCCAUAUCCAUGAGAUUAAGACAAGAAUCAUUGGGUUUAAAGCACAAUACCAGUGAAUCAUUAGUUAAGAUAUUAAGAAAAGUAUUUUAAUAGUAGAACACAUAAAUCAGAGACGUGGGUAUGGAAUCUCCAUCAUGAGAUGAUUUUAAGAACAGUAAGGCCAAACUUGCUUCAGAAAUAGUGUAAUUACAGUUAAUGUUGCCAGAACAAGAGCAUGAAGGAUUUGUCCUCUCAAUAUUCCUUUAAACUCUUUCCACUUUGAUUUUAAGUUCAACCUUUUCUAUUUUAACAUACAGAUUUUUUGUUAGAAAAUCAGAUUGGUUUACAUUUUUUUCCACUUUAUGCACUUUGUUUGACAUAGAAGAAAAUCAAAAACAGUUUGCCUAUUGAAAGAUGAAUUAUUUGUAUCAUAAUAAGCCUAUAGUUCCAUUGGGUCAAAUUUAGAAACAAAUUCCUGGUUUGGAAAAAAAUACUGAGUACAAUCUCAGUAUUCCAACUCUGUUUUAUUAUGGGAAUCGAUCUUUUUAAAUAUCCCAUUCAAAACAGUUGUAUAAUAAAUGGAGCAAUAAGCCAGAAUAAUCA